rfam:Arabidopsis thaliana chromosome 1, complete sequence.
GGAUGCAAUCAUACCAGCACUAAUGCACCGGAUCCCAUCAGAACUCCACAGUUAACAUGCUUGGGAGGGAGUAGUACUAGGAUGGGUCACCUCCCGGGAAGUCCUCGUGUUGUAUCUU